rnacentral:rRNA from 1 species
UACGUAGGGGGCAAGCGUUGUCCGGAUUUAUUGGGCGUAAAGCGCUCGCAGGCGGUCCGAUGCGUCGUGCGUGAAAGACCCCGGCUCAACUGGGGAGGGUCGUGCGAUACGGUCGGACUCGAGGCCAGUAGGGGAGCGUGGAAUUCCUGGUGUAGCGGUGAAAUGCGCAGAUAUCAGGAGGAACACCAGCGGCGAAGGCGGCGCUCUGGGCCGGAACUGACACUGAGGAGCGAAAGCGUGGGUAGCAAACAGG